UCGGGUGAAAUGGCAUAGGAGGUUAAUUGUCUGAUUUAUUUAAAGGCUUUUAGCUGCUAUACAGAAGAAAUUACCACCCUAAACACAGCCCCAAAUUACUCUCGGAACACUAAGUGAUAAAAUCAGAAUUGGGUCACAGCGGCCUGGCUUUUCAGAGAACAAUCAUUUCCAGGGGGAGAGGUCAGAGCUUUUCGAGCAGAGGUGAAUGAGUUGGGACAGUUGGCUGCUAACUUUGACUUUGAGUCAGGAUAUUACAAGGAUUGACCCUUGUAAAUGUUCCUGAGGAAGAGACCAGCCAGAAACUUCUCCUGUUGAACUAAGGAAAACAUCAGCCAGCUUCACAUUGGUAAGGUACAACUUCUGAACAGGCCUUUAAAAGGCUUCGGGCCCCCUCUCACCCUCCCCCAACCUUAUCAACUGCUUCCUCCCCCUUUGCAUUCCCCUGGGUGAAUUCCUUAGUCUUUAUCUCUCCCUUUUCUUUCAUUUGCCUGUUUAUCUCAAAAAUCCUUUAAUAGCCCAGAGUGAAGCAAUUCCCACGCCGGGAAAGGCUGGGAGAACUUACACUGGAAAGACAGACAGACAGGCAUCCUAGUAGCCCCAGAGUAAACACGCAUUACUGUGUCUGCUGCAGCAACUUCCCGAGGCCUCCCCUUUAGGAGUGCCCAGCCCUACUAGUUAUUAUUCUGGUGAUUUGGGAUAAAUUACUUUAAUUCUUAUAGCCUUACUUUUCCAAUCCGUAAAUCUGGCAUAAUGCUUCAUUGGGUUGAAGGUUAGAGAGAAGGAGCUUGCAAGCAAGGAGUGUGAGCCGUUUGUUGUAGCAGCGAUAAUAACACCUAUGUUAUGCAGGGAGAGGAAUGUUGGCCAGAAGGAAAGAUAAACAGUACUAAUGAAGAUGAAGACGAAUAAGAAGCAUAAAAUUGCUAAAAGUGGGGGGAUAUGGGUACCAGUUGGAUGUGAAGGGCCACAGAGAAGCCACUGGUGUCCUAGGAGUUCCUGAUUUUGGUAUCUGAUGCAGCUGUUGGCCGAGAGCGGAAAUUCAGAGCAAAUAUCUGCUUUAGAUCUUUGGUAUUGAUAUUUCCUAUAAAAUAUUCAGGCAAAGAUGCUUAGAAGGUGAUUUGGAACCUAAGUAGACAAAAGUCAGCAAAUUUUAACAAAUGUUUGCUAACCGCAUGGACUGUUAUGUAAUGUGCAAAGUGAUAGAAAUAAUGUUUACUUUAUUGUUUUCUAAUGGAGAAAUAUAUGAAAAUAAAUGGACAUAUUGAAUAACCACAUAAGCUCUGGUAAGGACAAUAAAAGAUACGGUUGGAGUAUCUGGUAUCAGAACAGAGCUGUGAUGAGGGUGAAUUGGAGGUGGUGGAAGUAUUGCACUCCCAGAGUGUCUCUGCUGUGGACUGCGGACAUGGAAUGGAAUCCUUGCUGCUUGCCUUUCAAUCCCUAGUUCUUGGAGCUGUGUCUGCAUGUGGUAGUAUGUCUUCUACAGCUGCGGAAUAACUUAUUGAAAGAACAACAAAAAUAGUCUCAUUGUGACUGUUCAUAGAAUGUACACUGGAGAUCACAGAAACCUGGUCUUUAAAGUACUAUGCUGAAAAAAAUGUCAAAUUUCUGCAGAGAAUAAAUAUUAAGAGGAUAAGAAAGAUAACGUGAUAAUUAGGAAUGUGUUUGGCGACAGGUAAUAGGAAAACUUGACUGGGGUAGCUUACACUAAUAGAAGGUGUUUUGUUUUGUUUUGUUGACACCUUUUAGAGACAAGCUUUCUCUAUGUAACGCAGGUUUUUCUCAAACUUAACCUCUGUUGGCCUUUGGAGAGCUGGGAUUAUGAACUUGUGACACCACAUUGAGCAGGUGGUUUUUUGAUGUUGCUGUUGUAAUUUUUUUUCCCACAAAACAAUGGAGAGUUAGCUGGGACCUAGGAAGAUAAGUGCAACGACGUUCAGUUUUUCCUUUCUGUUGCUAUUUCCCUGUGGCCUCAGAGGAGAGGCUCCAGUCAUCAUUUCAAGCUCAGCAAAAGUAAUGAAAAAGAGGCAGCAGUGAUGUCUAUGUCUUGUAGAAAUAGGGUAGAAUAUGGAAUUGCUAAGAACUGUUGUCAUAUGGCUAUCAACUGCAGAGAGGUAAUUUAGGAGAAGGGAUUGGAGCAUUUGACAGAUAGCAACUAUCUGCUACAUUAAACAAGAAUCAUGUCUUCAUGUGGAUGGCUGUGGAGGGGAGGAAAGUUACUUUGCUUUGGAGAGAGCAUUGAUGGGUCGCCCUACACAGUACAUGUAUGGGCAGCGCUAAUUGGACUUAGUCGGUUAUAAAACAAAAGAAGGAGGAGGAGGAGGAGAAGAAGAUUUGAGAGAGAAAGUUUCAAGGAGGCAAAUUGGCAAGCAAAUCAAACAUCGCCAAGUUUGAGAAAGAUGAGCUCUGAAAAGAGCUUAUGGAUUUGACAUUUCCAAGGGCAGAGACCUUGCCCGUUAUGCUCUGAGCUGUAUUCCAGGCACCUGCUCCAGCACCAGAAACAGAGUAGGCAAUUAAUCACUGACUAGGGAAAUUAAUCUGCCUGUGGUGUAUUAGAUGUAUUGCAUGCAUAAAGGUCUAUAUUGAUCAUGCAGUAUAAAUUAAAUUCUAAUUUUCUCUAAGUAAAUACUUUCUGGAAAGAGUGAGCAUCUAGAGAGUUAUCCUCAUAUGCACAUUAGAAUCCAGUUAAGAGGAAUAGACUACAGCUUAUAAAAGAUUGCCCCAAAGCUCAAUGGAGCAGAGUAAAGGAACUUUCUGGAAGAACUUGUUUAUUUUAAUAGUUGCUCUUAGUAGAUAUAGGCAUUGUUUAGUCAUAAGAAAGUUGUUUAUGUAAUAGUUGUAACUAUUAGUUUAUAGUUAUAAGGAAUAUUUUUAAAAUUCCAUCUUUAAUAUGAUAGAAAAUUCCUAAAGUAUUUAGUUUAGCCAACAUGUUCAAUAAAUAUAUUUCAAAGUCUUAUAGAAUUUACAGACCUCAUUUAAAAUUUUUCCCAUUUUAUUGGAUUCUCUCAAAAAUAUUGAAGGUAACUAUAGAACGUGUCAUUGACCUUUCCCUAGCCCUUCAUUUUGCCAUUGGAAAAACUCAACAUAUUUUAAAUAAUUCAUUCACAUCGCACAAGUAGUAAGGGACUGAACGAGGGUGGGACACAAGUUUUAAUUCCCAGUUCUGAGUUCUUUACCUAAUAUAGUUUGCAUCUAAAUACAAGGAAUUAAGUUUUGUGUAAUUGUAAAACCCUGUGACUUAAAACUCGUGGCUACAAGUGGAGAAAGCAUAUUUUAUCUUGGUAGGUAAACUGACUUAAAUAUUUUACAUUUUUUCUUUGCUUGUCUGUUUUUUGAGGGAUGCAAGGGAACCAUGGUGAUGGGGACAACCUCAAGGAGUCUGGAAUUGGUCCUCGAGCUCUGUAGAUUGAGUUUGGGUCAUCAGACUUGGUGACAAGUUCCUUUACUUAGAGUCAUCUCUCUGGUUCUUGGUUAAUGGAUUCUCAUAGAGAUCCCUUGUCUUUGCAGAGACCAGUAAGAACGAUGAGAGCAGAAAGUCUACCUUUGCCAAGUUUAUCUCUUCCAGGAAUACAGUGUUUGAAGAGGCGUGAAGGUCGAGUAACUGCAGUAACUUGGUUUUACCAUUGGGGAAUCACAAAGUUUAACUUCCUUUCAGUUUAUUACAUCCUCUGAAUGUGGCUGAGCAUUGUCUGUGAAUUAUUUUACUUGAGAAUGAGGACAAAUUUUAUACAAGAGGUAAGUAAGGUGACUUGAUCUCAUUAGAGCCUGAUUAGAAUGCUUCCUGGAGAGCAUAUCUUCCUUAUAGCUUUUGUGAGUGAGUGAGUGAGUGUGUGUGUGUGUGUGUGUGUGUGUGUGUGUGUGUGUGUGUAUGUCUAUAUUUUUCACACAGAAUCCUGCUAUGUAGCCUGGGCUGCUCUCUUGAACUCAUGAUCCUCUUUCCACAUCCUAGAGAGUGUUGGAACUAUAGGCCAUGCCACGCUGGACCUGUAUCUCAAUUUCAACUUUGAACUUUAUCUGACUUCCCUCUAUUUGCAAUAUUCUGCUCAUUGCCAUGAGCAACUAACACUUGUCCCUGAGUCUUUUUUUUUUCUUGUUUGUGGUGGGGAAGUAUUGAGCUGUUUCCUUGGAUCCUUCAAGUCUACCUCAUCUUUGACCUGUGACAUGGUAACACAUGUACCUUCUUAAGAAAAACAGCAUAAAUGCUAUCAGCCAUUUGAUUCGACGAUGAAAUCUAACUUUGCAGGCCUCGAGGCUGGACACACAGUUCUGAGAUGUGGAGAAGGUAAAUGAGAACUGCUGACCCAGGUGAGCAGUGGAACCCAGGGACUCACAUGUCACUAGGUGACUCUGUGUGCUCCGAGGAGCUUUGCAGGUGAACUUGUGCAUCCUGGAGAUAGCACAGCUGUGUUCACAUCUAUGGCUCGUGUUUGGCCCGCCGCAGUGACACUCCAGAAGUGUGCCUCUUGAGAACUUGUUAAUAGUUUAUCUGAAACUGCUUUUGAAUCAGCUUAUUAAUAUUUUUUAGAUUUAUUUUAUACCUUUCCUCCAGGGUGUAGGGUUGCGUGAUUUUAUUCAUGCAGCAAACUGUUCUUCAUGUUGUCUGUGUGUCAGCUGCUGGCCCCCAGGAUGGAGAGAUGGACCAGGCACUACCUUUCCAAUUAAGGAAUUUAUAAUCUAAAAGGAAGGGAGAUUUAACCCCCUGAGCUCUCCAAAGGGAAGCCAUCUAUGCGUGAGGCCUGUGAUUGACAUUUGAUGUAACUUGAGGAGGACAAGAGCUGCAAUCGUUCCAGCCACCAGGAUGAUAUCUUCAGAUUCUUUUCCUCUAAAGACACGAUGCUGUGGAGCCUAAAUUCUGAAGAGUAAGAUGUAGGAUUAAAAUCUCUUUUCUUUUUCCAACGACCAACCUAAUGUGUGAUGUUACUGCAAGAAGUUGUCGGGAAGGCAGAGAACCCCAAGAGGUGGAGACUUUUGCUUUUAAAGAGCAUGAUAUCCUACUUGAAAGAAAAUUAAGAUUUGAAAAGAAUUUGAAACUGUUAGAAAUUAUUUCUGCCUCUCCGCUGGCAGAAAUAAUUCCAAUCACCAAAUCAGACAGAAUUAAAGAUGCCCAUAUUUAAUGCAAUGCUCCCGGGUGGGACCCGGAAAGCAUGGAGAAGGGAAGAAGAGAGAGAAGAGGAGACCACGGGGAAACCGGAGAACACAGGUUCAUUCUAGGGAGGCAGUGUAAGUAGACUGUGUGGGAGUGGUCUUGACCUUCCCUGGGGAGGGACUACCGUUUGGCGGGCCCUCUCGAGGAGGUGGAGUUUGGACCAAGGCAACUCCCAGGAGAGGGGGCUUGAAAUAGAACUUUCUGCCCAGUAUUCCAAAGAUGGGUGCCAGGUGCUGGGAUGAGGCCCCCGACUAUAAUAGUCCAGACUCUUUGUAUAAAGGGGUGUUAGGGAGCUGGGGUGAUGCUUUUGACCAAACAUUCCAGGCUUUUUGGAUAAUGGGGUGCCAGAAAGCUGAGGUGAAGCCCCUCAACCAAACACUUUAGACUCCCUGGAUAAAAGGGUGCUGGCUCAAGUCUGGCUGCUUUCUGUUGUCAUGGGAGACAUGGGAGUGGGGAGAGCUGGGAGUUGGUGGGCUCAUGCUCAGUGAGAAGCGUGGCUGAAGCAGCAUCUGGUUUACUGUCAUCCUGGAGUCUCCAGGCAGCUGUUUCUUGAGGGAGAUAGGAAGGCAGGUGGCUAGGAGGAAAAAAAAAUAUUGUUAUUAUUGGCGCUAUGAAUGCAUCUGUAAGAGAACUGGAACAGAUUUACAUCUUGGUGUCAUAGCAAAAAGGCUAUUGCUUUAGGUUAAAAGGUGUGCACAUUUUAGAAGACAAAGGGAGUUAGACAGUCUAAACCUCUAAAGAUACACUUGAAACCUGUUAGUCGUGGACUAUGAAGCCUGUUAAAGAAAUAUUCCUAACAGAAACCUCAGCUUAUGAUUUAUAAUAGACUGCCUUACUCAGCGUGCAUGAAUGGCGUGGAGGUUCUGGAUUCCUACCCCAACAUCACUAAAACAACCAAACAAAUGAACAAACAACACAAAGUAUAAAAGACCUGCAUUAAUAAAAUGUUUUUUAAUCAUUAUUAUUUUUUAAUAGUUUAUUUAACUUUAUUUUAUGUGCAUUGGUGUGAAGGUGUCAGAUCUGGGAGUGGAGUCACAGAUAGUUGUGAGCUGCUAUGUGGGUGCUGGGAAUUGAGCCUGGGUCUUCCGGAAGAGCAACCAGUGGUCUUAUCUGCUAAGCCAUCUCUCCAGCCCCCUAAUAAAAUGUUCAUAUCUCAUCUUUUCUAAAAUGAUUCUCCAUAUUUUUAUUGUUCUCUGCUCAUUCACCUAUACCAAGAAGAGAUCACUUAGUUGCAGCUAUUCUGUUGGUACAGUGUUGGCUGUAAAUACUUCCACGUUGUGAUGGAGAGGCAGAGAGAAGAGGGAACAUUUACAUUUUAAUCCCUUUUGCAACCUUCUUCUGAGUCUUAAUUCUGAGCUGUCUCUUCCCUUCAGAAUUUAGGAAUGCACCGAAGUGAAGGCACCUUUGGGCUUCUACCAGGGAGGGCUGUGGGCUUCUAGGGUUUGAACUUUUUCCUCCUUGCCUCCUGGAGAAUGGUUUGUGCAGACUGCAAAGCCGGCAGAGGCCAGAGGCCGGCUUUUGGCUCCCUUCCCCCCACCCCUUCCAACUCAUCACAUCCUUAUAUAAUCCAAGAAAAAUCUGCUUUUGGUUAGGAUGCAGUGGAAGGCAAAGUAAA